GACGAACCGUGCGAACGUUGUUCGGAUUCACUGGGCUUAAAGGGCGCGUAGGCGGGUGACCAAGUCAGGGGUGAAAUCUUUCGGCUCAACCGGAAAAGUGCCCCUGAUACUGGUCGUCUCGAGGGAGGUAGGGGCAUGUGGAACUUCCGGUGGAGCGGUGAAAUGCGUAGAUAUCGGAAGGAACGCCGGUGGCGAAAGCGACGUGCUGGACCUUUCCUGACGCUGAGGCGCGAAGGCCAGGGGAGCAAACGGG
rnacentral:rRNA from 1 species